GGGACAACUGAUGGUGCCAGUGUCAGGGUCCGAAACGGGUGCUCUCCCCCAGCGGCUAUCAGCUCUUGGUUCUAUGUCUCGUGCCCCCACUUUUUUGUUAGUGGCUGAGGAGCUGUCAAUGAAGUGUCCGGCGGCCGUCAACGGUCUCCGUCGCCCAUACGACAUCAUCAUAUGACCGGAGUGAGUCAGUGAAUCAGCUGCCAAGUUUGAUUUGUGCUUUGGCCAACAAAUGGUUUAAUGAGACACUAGGUCGGGGGCUGCUCCGAGUUUCGAGUUUCGAGUUCCGAGUUCGAUCUCCGCAAAAACGAUGACGAUGACCCUGGGCACUCUGUUUCUGUUUCUGUCAGCCACUGCGAUCGUAAAUUGAGCAAACAUUUGUGGUUUGCGCUGGCUGAUUGCGUGCACUGCAAUGCAAGUUUUAUGGCACUCUCCUUGCGAUGAUUGUGACUGCGAGUGUGUGGAUUCG
rnacentral:lncRNA from 1 species